ensembl:snRNA U4 U4 spliceosomal RNA
CGCUUCGCUCAGUGGCAGUAUCGUAGCCAAUGAGGUUUAUCUGAGGCGCGAUUAUUGCUAAUUGAAAACUUUUCCCAAAACAUAUUCAUAUCCAUGAAGUAACACCAUUUAUGCCAUUUUGCACUCAAU